GACGAACGCUGGCGGCGUGCUUAACACAUGCCAGUCGAACGGAAAGGCCCUGCUUUUGUGGGGUGCUCGAGUGGCGAACGGGUGAGUAACACGUGAGUAACCUGCCCUUGACUUUGGGAUAACUUCAGGAAACUGGGGCUAAUACCGGAUAGGAGCUCCUGCUGCAUGGUGGGGGUUGGAAAGUUUCGGCGGUUGGGGAUGGACUCGCGGCUUAUCAGCUUGUUGGUGGGGUAGUGGCUUACCAAGGCUUUGACGGGUAGCCGGCCUGAGAGGGUGACCGGCCACAUUGGGACUGAGAUACGGACCAGACUCCUACGGGAGGCAGCAGUGGGGAAUAUUGCACAAUGGGCGGAAGCCUGAUGCAGCAACGCCGCGUGCGGGAUGACGGCCUUCGGGUUGUAAACCGCUUUCGCAUGUGACGAAGCGUGAGUGACGGUAAUGGGUAAAGAAGCACCGGCUAACUACGUG
rnacentral:rRNA from 1 species